AUGACAUGUAUAUAUGAUAAUAGUAUGAUGCCUUUUGUUCAUGCAGGGGCAGAUAAAUGCAUGUCUUCUGCUCUCUCAGUGGCCUCUCUGAGUUUCUUUGGCACUAUUCUAAGCCUUUUCUCAACUAUCUCAUUCUCCAUUGCUUCUUCAUUCAUGCAGGAGCUGUUAAGUCAAUCUCAGCCUCCUUGCGCAAGUGAUCGCAUCAUCAUUCACUACAGGGACUACAUGGGAGCAAAGGCAGGCAAGCUACAGUGGUCUUUGUGUAAAACAGCGGAGGGAAGUCACAGAGUAAAACAAGCACUGUAG
rnacentral:rRNA from 1 species